rnacentral:rRNA from 1 species
AUUGAACGCUGGCGGCAUGCCUUACACAUGCAAGUCGAACGGUAACAGGUCUUCGGAUGCUGACGAGUGGCGAACGGGUGAGUAAUACAUCGGUACGUGCCUAGUAGUGGGGGACAACUACUCGAAAGAGUGGCUAAUACCGCAUGAGAUCUACGGAUGAAAGCAGGGGAUCGCAAGACCUUGUGCUACUAGAGCGGCCGAUGGCAGAUUAGGUAGUUGGUGGGAUAAAAGCUUACCAAGCCGACGAUCUGUAGCUGGUCUGAGAGGACGAUCAGCCACACUGGGACUGAGACACGGCCCAGACUCCUACGGGAGGCAGCAGUGGGGAAUUUUGGACAAUGGGCGCAAGCCUGAUCCAGCAAUGCCGCGUGCAGGAUGAAGGCCUUCGAGUUGUAAACUGCUUUUGUACGGAACGAAAAGCCCUGGGUUAAUACCCUGGGGUCAUGACGGUACCGUAAGAAUAAGCACCGGCUAACUACGUGCCAGCCGCCGCAGUAA